UGGUCAAGUUAUUAAGGGUGCAGGGCGGAUGCCUUGGCACUAGGAGCCGAUGAAGGACGUGAUAAGCUGCGAUAAGCUUCGGGGAGUUGCACGUAAACUUUGAUCCGAAGAUUUCCGAAUGAGGAAACUCACUUAGAGUAAUGUCUAAGUAUCAUUAAGUGAAUACAUAGCUUAAUGAGGGGAACUCAGGGAACUGAAACAUCUAAGUACCUGAAGGAAGAGAAAGAAAUUCGAUUCCGUAAGUAGCGGCGAGCGAACGCGGAUUAGCCCAAACCAAUAAAGUUUUCUUUAUUGGGGUUGCGGACAUAUCAUAACGAAGAGGUAUCGUAAUUGAAGAGGUUUGGAAAGACCCACCACAGAAGGUAAUAGUCCUGUAUGUUAAACGAGAAGACUUCAGAUAUGAUCCAGAGUACCACGGGACACGUGAAACCCUGUGGGAAGCAGGAGGGACCACCCUCCAAGGCUAAAUACUACCUAGUGACCGAUAGCGUAUAGUACCGUGAGGGAAAGGUGAAAAGAACCCCGGGAGGGGAGUGAAAUAGAACCUGAAACCCUGCACUUACAAGCUGUGGAAGCACAUUUCUUGUGUGACCGCGUACUUUUUGUAGAACGGGCCAACGAGUUACGUUAAGUAGCAAGGUUAAGCACUUAAGGUGCGGAGCCGUAGCGAAAGCGAGUUUUAACUGAGCGUUCAGUUACUUGACGUAGACCCGAAACCGGGCGACCUACCCAUGAGCAGGAUGAAGCGAAAGUAAAAUUUCGUGGAGGUCCGAACCCACGAGCGUUGAAAAGCUCGGGGAUGACUUGUGGGUAGCGGUGAAAUUCCAAUCGAGCCCGGAGAUAGCUGGUUCUCCCCGAAAUAGCUUUAGGGCUAGCCUCAAGGUGAGAGAUACGGAGGUAGAGCACUGAAUGUCCUAGGGGGUAUUGCACCUACCGAAGACUAUCAAACUCCGAAUGCCGUCAUCUUAUACUUGGGAGUCAGACUGUGGGUGAUAAGAUUCAUAGUCGAAAGGGCAACAGCCCAGAUCGUCAGCUAAGGUCCCUAAAUGUAAGUUAAGUGGUAAAGGAUGUGGGAUUGCACAGACAACCAGGAUGUUGGCUUAGAAGCAGCCACUCAUUCAAAGAGUGCGUAAUAGCUCACUGGUCGAGUGAUCCUGCGCCGAAGAUUUCCGGGGCUAAAACUUACUACCGAAGCUACGGCAUCAUUAUGAUGGGUAGGGGAGCUUCCCAUACGGGUUGAAGCAUGACCGUAAGGACAUGUGGACAGUAUGGGAGUGAGAAUGUUGGCAUGAGUAGCGAGAUGUGGGUGAGAAUCCCACAGGCCGUAAACCCAAGGUUUCCAGGGGAAGGUUCGUCCGCCCUGGGUUAGUCGGGACCUAAGCUGAGGCCGAAAGGCGUAGGUGAUGGACAACAGGUUGAUAUUCCUGUACUACCGAUAACCGUUUGAGAGAAGGGAUGACACAGUAGGAUAAGCUAAGCACACUGUUGGUUAUGUGUGCCCAAGCAUUGAGGCAGUCAAAGCAGGCAAAUCCGCUUUGAUAAUGCUGGGAUGUGAUGGGGAGCGAAAUUUAGUAGCGAAGUAGCUGAUUUCACACUGUCAAGAAAAGUCUCUAUCGAGGUUAAAGGUACCCGUACCGCAAACCGACACAGGUGGGUGAGGAGAGUAUCCUAAGGCCAGCGAGAGAACUGUUGUUAAGGAACUCGGCAAAAUGACCCCGUAACUUAGGGAUAAGGGGUGCCACCAUCCGGUGGCCGCAGAGAAUAGGCCCAAGCGACUGUUUACCAAAAACAUAGGUUUCUGCUAAGUCGCAAGACGAUGUAUAGGAGCUGACGCCUGCCCGGUGCUGGAAGGUUAAGGGGAUCUGUUAGAGCAAUCGAAGCAGUGAACUUAAGCCCCAGUAAACGGCGGCCGUAACUAUAACGGUCCUAAGGUAGCGAAAUUCCUUGUCGGGUAAGUUCCGACCCGCACGAAAGGCGUAACGAUUUGGGCACUGUCUCAACAACAGACUCGGUGAAAUUGUAAUUCCGGUGAAGAUGCCGGAUACCUGCGACAGGACGGAAAGACCCCAUGGAGCUUUACUGUAGCUUGACAUUGGGUCUUGGUACUACAUGUACAGGAUAGGUGGGAGGCUUUGAAACCAGGACGCCAGUUUUGGCGGAGCCAUCCUUGGGAUACCACCCUUGUAGUACUGGGACUCUAACCAUAGGCCAUGAAUCUGGUCUUGGGACACUGUCAGGUGGGCAGUUUGACUGGGGCGGUCGCCUCCCAAAAGGUAACGGAGGCGCUCAAAGGUUCUCUCAGUACGGUCGGAAAUCGUACGUAGAGUGUAAAGGCAAAAGAGAGCUUGAUUGCAAGACAUACAGGUCGAGCAAGGAUGAAAAUCGGACUUAGUGAUCCGGUGGUUCUGCGUGGAAGGGCCAUCGCUCAACGGAUAAAAGCUACCCUGGGGAUAACAGGCUUAUCUCCCCCAAGAGUCCACAUCGACGGGGAGGUUUGGCACCUCGAUGUCGGCUCAUCACAUCCUGGGGCUGUAGUAGGUCCCAAGGGUUGGGCUGUUCGCCCAUUAAAGUGGUACGCGAGCUGGGUUCAGAACGUCGUGAGACAGUUCGGUCCCUAUCCGUCGCAGGCGUAGGAAAUUUGAGAAGACCUGUCCUUAGUACGAGAGGACCGGGAUGGACGUACCUCUGGUGUACCAGUUGUCCUGCCAAGGGCAUGGCUGGGUAGCUAUGUACGGAAUGGAUAAGCGCUGAAAGCAUCUAAGCGCGAAGCCAACUUCAAGAUAAGAUUUCCCACCGCAAGGGUAAGACCCCAGAAAGACUAUCUGGUUGAUAGGUCGAAGGUGUAAGUGCAGCAAUGUAUUUAGCUUAUCGAUACUAAUAGGUCGAGGACUUGACCAAU
rnacentral:rRNA from 1 species